AGUGAACGCUGGCGGUAGGCCUAACACAUGCAAGUCGAACGGCAGCACAGUAAGAGCUUGCUCUUACGGGUGGCGAGUGGCGGACGGGUGAGGAAUACAUCGGAAUCUACUUUUUCGUGGGGGAUAACGUAGGGAAACUUACGCUAAUACCGCAUACGACCUACGGGUGAAAGCAGGGGAUCUUCGGACCUUGCGCGAUUGAAUGAGCCGAUGUCGGAUUAGCUAGUUGGCGGGGUAAAGGCCCACCAAGGCGACGAUCCGUAGCUGGUUUGAGAGGAUGAUCGGCCACACUGAAACUAGGACACGGUCCAAACUCCUACGGGAGGCAGCAGUGGGAAAUAUUGGACAAGGGGCGCAAGCCUGAUCCAGCCAUACCGCGUGGGUGAAGAAGGCCUUCGGGUUGUAAAGCCCUUUUGUGGGGAAAGAAAAGCGGCAGGUUAAUACCCCGCGGUUCUGACGGUACCCAAAGAAUAAGCACCGGCUAACUUCGU
rnacentral:rRNA from 1 species